GGGCCCCGCACAAGCAGCGGAGCGUGUGGUUUAAUUCGAUGUUACACGAAGAACCUUACCAGGGUUUGACAUGCAAGUGGUAGGAAGCCGAAAGGUGACCGACCCUUCGGGGAGCUUGCACAGGUGCUGCAUGGCUGUCGUCAGCUCGUGUCGUGAGAUGUUCGGUUAAGUCCGCUAACGAGCGCAACCCUCGCUGUGUGUUAUAUGUGUCACACGGGGACUGCCGGUCUUAAGCCGGAGGAAGGUGGGAUGAUGUCAAGUCAGCAUGGCCUUUAUAUCCUGGGCUACACACACGCUACAAUGGCCAACACAAUAGGUUGCUAAGCCGCGAGGUGGCGCCAAUCCAUAAAGUUGGUCUCAGUUCAGGUUGUAGGCUGCAACCCGCCUGCAUGAAGAUGGAGUUGCUAGUAACCGCAGGUCAGCUAUACUGCGGUGAAUACGUUCCCGGGGCUU
rnacentral:rRNA from 1 species